AACGCACCUUGCACUCCUUGGUAUUCCGAGGAGUAUGCCUGUUUGAGUGUCAUGAAAUUAUCAACUUCAUAGUUUUAUUACUUUGAAGCUUGGAUUUGGAAGCUUGCUGGCUCUCUAGUCGGCUCUUCUUAAAUGUAUUAGCUGCUUGUCCGCGGGUUGGCUCAGAGUGUGAUAAGUAUCUACACUUGGUGGCUGCUUGCUUGGAUGUGGCUUCUAAUCGUCUUCGGACAACCUUUUAAGAUCUGACCUCAAAUCAGGUAGGACUACCCGCUGAACUUAA
rnacentral:misc_RNA from 1 species